rnacentral:lncRNA from 1 species
AAUUCUCUCGAAAAUUGGUAAGAAAAUACUUAUUAAAGCAAUUGCUCAAUCUAUACCAAAUUAUUUAAUGAGUUGUUUCCUUUUUCCUAAGUUUAUUUGUAACUACCUUAAUUGUUAAUUAUUGGUGGGACAGAAGGGUAAUGGGAGAAAGAUGCAUUGGUGUAAAUAGGAGGUUCUUUGUAAAUCUAAGGGAGAGGAGGGCUUACGCUUUCGGAAACUUCAUGCUUUCAAUUUAACUAUGUUAGCUAAACAAGUUUGGCGUCUUUCUACUGACCCGAAUUCCUUAAUUAGCCAAAUUUUGAAAGCCUAGCAUUAUCCUAGGACUGAUAUUCCCAAUGCUCAACUUGGUUAUAAUCCUAGUUAUACCUGGAGGAGUAUUUGGGAAGCUCGUAUUGAAAAAGAGUCUUACUUUUUAUGGUAGGAUUAGGCUCCUCUAUUAGAGUUUGGGGUGAUAGGUGGAUUCCCAAACAAUUGAGUCUUAAGGUUUUGACUUCUAGAGAUGAAGCUUUCGGUGAUUUGAUGGUUAGUGAUCUUAUCUUAAUUCAAGCCUGAUUAACCCGUUGUUCUCACAUGUAGAGACAUAUUUAAUUUUUGCUAUUCCUCUUAGUUCCCAUCGAUCCCAAAAUUUACCCUCUUGGAUCUUCUUCACCAAAUCGUGGCAAUAUAGCACUUAGCUCAUCAUUAUAUCCAAUAUAAUUAUGCUGGGAAUUCGGGUUCUAGUCCUACGGAUAGCCUCAUAAAUUAGAAUUCGAUUUGGCAUCUUAAUAUUCCACCAAAAGUAAAGCAUUUCGUAUGGAGAUGUUGCCUUGAUCUUCUUCCUAUAGGUGCUUUAUUCUGCAAAAGGUCAAUCCCAGUUCCUCUAGAUUGUUGCUGGUGUAAAAACAGGAUGGUAACUGUUAUGCACUCUCUUUAUUGUUUUUUUACAGGUGAAGUAUGGCAAGCCAAUAUUUUUCAAAUAUUAAGGAUAAGCUCACUCUUGCAUGUAUGAUCAGUUGGAGUAUUUGGCGAUCCCGAAACUUGAAAAAUUUCAAGAUAUCUCAAUGACUCCUUUGCAAAUUCUUCAAAAAGCUUACAAAUUAUUUGAUGACUUUGCCUCUUCCAAUAAGAAGUGUCCCCUGGAUAGGAGCCAUCAAUCACCUCUAAGAUGGGAACUUCCUGCUACCGAUCACUUUAAGCUUAAUGUGGAUGUGGGAUGUUUCAAUAUGCAGGGACAUGGACGUGGGAUGUUUCGAUAUGCAGGAACAUGGAUGUGGAGUUAUUAUCAAGGAUUGUACGGGUGUGGUUAAGGUCUCAGUAUCUUUUUUCUAUCCUUCUCAAUGCUACCUAGAAAUUGCUGAAGCCAAAGCCAUCCUCAAAGGAUUAAAUGUUGUUACUCAACACUGAUUCUCUUCCUUGAUCGUUGAAAAGUGAUUGUCAGUAUAGUGUUAAUUGCAUUCUGAAUCGGGUUUUUAGCAG